CAACUUCGUAUUUUAUUUGGCCUUUUUAACUUUUUUGGAUUCGAGCGUCACUGAUGAGUCUUUUGUAGAUGAAACACGUGUCUGGCGUAUAUAUAAAAUUUAGUCCUGGUAUCUAUGAUGAGUUUAUUGAACAAUCAUGCUUCUGGUUUUAGUAGUGAAUUGAUCACAUGAAUUGAGGCAUACAUUUCAAUAAGUACAUCCAAAUGAAUGAAUCAACCAUUGUUGAUCUCAAACAACAGGAACAUCUUGGUUGAAAAAUAAAAUGCAGUUGGUAGGGAAUGGAAAAUUUAUUGCUGUAAUGAUAAAUACAUUUAUCUAAUAUUUACACAAUUUGUACAAUUUUAUCAAUACAUUGUUAUACAUAUGCCUUAAAAAUACACAUGAAAGUCUAUUUUGAAUUGUUGUUUAUAGCCUUUUUAUCACAUCUCCAUAAUGCAUAAAAACUAAUUAAAAAGUAAUCAAGCUUUUCACUCAGAAAGCAUCAAACUUAAACAAGCUACAUAAUGGAUGUACACAAGAUUUAAAACUUAGUACAAUAUGUGUACUAUGGAAAACAAAAUUAAGCACUAAUAAACUACUGUACAGAGCCCCUGGAUUUUGAAAUGAACAGAAUAUACCAUAUAUGUGUUGCCUUGGUGUAGGCUCUUCUUUGUGCUUUCUGCAGCAUACAAUUAAUACUAUCAAACUGAAAAUGAGUUUUUAUUUUUGCCAAACCAAUCCUGUUGCAAUGUUUGCAAUAAUGGAAACAUCUGAAUUGUACUUGGUUAAAAAUUUAAAUAUUUGGUUCACCUUUACCAAGGUCAAUGAAAAUUUGGUACCCAUGAAUAAAAAUGCAUCCACAGAACAUACUGACUGUUAUUUUUUCUUCUUCAGAUGGCUAUAAUGUUUCACACAAGUAUGUCUCAUGUCUUAACAGGAUUGAAACAGCACAAGAAAAAGUUAACAAGAAAAAAGCACCAAGCUGAUUUUUUAGAAUUACAUGUAUAUGAAUUUCCAUAUAUUUAUAAAGCAGCAAAUGCAUAUCAAUCCAUUUCAAUCACUAGUAUAUGAAAAUAAGGACCUUUUACAGACUUUUGACCACUAUUCCAUUAUUGAAUAUAAGUUUGUCGCUUUUAAGAAUUACACAUGAUGAAAACUAUGUCUUUCUAUGCUGAAGAACUGGAUCCAUCCUAGCUUCAGCCUUAUAGUAAAAUGGAAAAGACCUUAGAGCAUAUAGAAUAAAUAUAUCUGAAGUUGAAAUGACAAAAGAUUUCAGUAAGCAUGAUCAGGGAUCUCCAUGGCCUGUUAAAUGAUGGCGCCCCGCCAUCGUUCAAAUGUCUUGCGCCAUCGUCAAAUGACUAGCGCCAUCGUUAAAUUGUCUUGCGCCAUUGUUAAAUUGUCUUCUGCCAUCGCUCAAAACUUCAUCGUUUUUUGUAGCCCGACACCAUUUUUUUUUUUUAUCAAUUAUAAUCAAAUGCAUGUAAUUGCAUAACCCUUAGGCUUUUUAUGUUAUAAUCCAAUACAGUUCUAACGCCAGAGGGAUAUCCGGAUUAAGAUCGCUAAUCACUUGUACCUGAGCUUGUACAGGUAGAUCAACAAACCAGUCAGGAGAAUACUAUCUGAGGAUAGACGAUCCAUUUGUCGAAUUAAUCAACUAAGUUUCAGCAAAUGAUUAUGAUAAUUUGGAUUAAAUAAAUAAAUUAAUAAUCCAGUUACAAAGAAAACAGUUUAACAAGUCAAACACGUGCUUUAUUUUGACUUACGCAAUCCCCCUUUUUAAGAAGUACAAAAUAAGACGCAAAACAGUAAAUAUUAUUUCAUCGCAAAUAACUCGAGUACUGCUGUAACUAUUCUAUAAUAUAUAUGUUUCUAUAAUGAAAAUUCAAAUAAAUAUAAUUUAAAUAAGCAAUGAAUUAGCAUGUUCACCAUUCCUUGUAUGGAGGGAUAAAAUACUUCCGAUCGCGCUACACUGUACAGCGUAGACACGCUUUGUAAUUGUGAAAGUUCCUCCAUCGUUCAAUUUUCAUCCAUGGAGAUCCCUGAGAUUAAGAAAAUAAAUAACCAAAACUACACAUUUCAGUAAUGUUACAAACAAGUUGUGGAAUAGUUCCAAUCAAAUUACAAUACAGAUCCUGUGUCAAAGCUUUGCUUACAAAGAUCUGUACUUACUGUUCUAGUAAUUAUUACAUCAGCCAAUGAAAUUUCAGCCUUCAAAUCUUUAAAAGUAUAUAUUGAUUUGACAAAACCAGAGAAUCUUGAAAUGUCUUGAGCUGAAAGGAGAACUGUUUUACAGGAAAGCUUGGACAAGGGAUCUGUAUUUUAAUAGGAUUGGAAUAGUUCUAUCAUAUUAAAUAAUGAGACAGAUCAUAAAAACAAAUUGAAGACAGCUUCAAGUACAAAAUAUCAAUUAAAUUGAGAUCAACAGCAGAAAUA
rnacentral:lncRNA from 1 species